UCUGUAGAUGAAGAUGAUGAAGAUGAGAUCGUCAUUAUCCGGGGAGCUCCAACUCAAGCACUAGUAACUUCAAAUCAAGACCUCGUUAAUACCAUGGAACUAUAGCUGGUGGUACUGGCGACAGAACCAAACUUAUAUUUCCUUGUGGCCUUGUGUAUGGAAAAAUAUGGUUAUGAAUUUAUGAUCUUUCUUGCUUUUUUUUUAUGGGAAAAUCUUUCUUUUUUUAUCUUAUAAGCUGUGGAUUGUUAUAAACGUUUAAGAGUAUGAUUUAAUCA